rnacentral:rRNA from 1 species
GGCAGACGGGUGAGUAACAUGUAGGUAUCUGCCCUUUGGCCUGGAAUAACACGAGGAAACUUGUGCUAAUACCGGAUAAGUCUUUACGGAGAAAGCUUUAUGCACCAUUGGAUGAGCCUGCACUUGAUUAGUUUGUUGGUGGGGUAAUGGCCUACCAAGACUGUGAUCAAUAGCUGAUUUGAGAGGAUGAUCAGCCACAUUGGGACUGAGACACGGCCCAAACUCCUACGGGAGGCAGCAGUGGGGAAUCUUGCACAAUGGAGGAAACUCUGAUGCAGCGAUGCCGCGUGAGUGAAGAAGGCCCUUGGGUUGUAAAGCUCUUUCGUCGGGGAAGAAAAUGACUGUACCCGAAUAAGAAGGUCCGGCUAACUUCGUGCCAGCAGCCGCGGUAAUACGAAGGGACCUAGCGUAGUUCGGAAUUACUGGGCUUAAAGAGUUCGUAGGUGGUUGAAAAAGUUGGUGGUGAAAUCCCAGAGCUUAACUCUGGAACUGCCAUCAAAACUUUUCAGCUAGAGUAUGAUAGAGGAAAGCAGAAUUUCUAGUGUAGAGGUGAAAUUCGUAGAUAUUAGAAAGAAUACCAAUUGCGAAGGCAGCUUUCUGGAUCAUUACUGACACUGAGGAACGAAAGCAUGGGUAGCGAAGAGGAUUAGAUACCCUCGUAGUCCAUGCCGUAAACGAUGUGUGUUAGACGUUGGAAAUUUAUUUUCAGUGU